GACGAACGCUGGCGGCGUGCCUAAUGCAUGCAAGUAGAACGCUGAAGGAGGAGCUUGCUUCUCUGGAUGAGUUGCGAACGGGUGAGUAACGCGUAGGUAACCUGCCUGGUAGCGGGGGAUAACUAUUGGAAACGAUAGCUAAUACCGCAUAAGAGUAGAUGUUGCAUGACAUUUGCUUAAAAGGUGCAAUUGCAUCACUACCAGAUGGACCUGCGUUGUAUUAGCUAGUUGGUGAGGUAACGGCUCACCAAGGCAACGAUACAUAGCCGACCUGAGAGGGUGAUCGGCCACACUGGGACUGAGACACGGCCCAGACUCCUACGGGAGGCAGCAGUAGGGAAUCUUCGGCAAUGGACGGAAGUCUGACCGAGCAACGCCGCGUGAGUGAAGAAGGUUUUCGGAUCGUAAAGCUCUGUUGUAAGAGAAGAACGAGUGUGAGAGUGGAAAGUUCACACUGUGACGAUCUACCAGAAAGGACGCA
rnacentral:rRNA from 1 species